GACUGGUCUGAAGGUACUGAGUUAUCUCAAUUGAUUGUUCACAGUCAGUUUCAGAUCGAACUUUUUGUUCUACUCUUUCCCCCUUCUCACUACUGCACUUGACUAGUCUUUA
rnacentral:Y_RNA from 1 species